rnacentral:rRNA from 1 species
CAUGGUCUUAGCUUGCUAAGGCCGAUGGCGACCGGCGCACGGGUGAGUAACACGUAUCCAACCUGCCGUCUACUCUUGGACAGCCUUCUGAAAGGAAGAUUAAUACAAGAUGGCAUCAUGAGUUCACAUGUUCACAUGAUUAAAGGUAUUCCGGUAGACGAUGGGGAUGCGUUCCAUUAGAUAGUAGGCGGGGUAACGGCCCACCUAGUCUUCGAUGGAUAGGGGUUCUGAGAGGAAGGUCCCCCACAUUGGAACUGAGACACGGUCCAAACUCCUACGGGAGGCAGCAGUGAGGAAUAUUGGUCAAUGGGCGAGAGCCUGAACCAGCCAAGUAGCGUGAAGGAUGACUGCCCUAUGGGUUGUAAACUUCUUUUAUAAAGGAAUAAAGUCGGGUAUGUAUACCCGUUUGCAUGUACUUUAUGAAUAAGGAUCGGCUAACUCCGUGCCAGCAGCCGCGGUAAUACGGAGGAUCCGAGCGUUAUCCGGAUUUAUUGGGUUUAAAGGGAGCGUAGAUGGAUGUUUAAGUCAGUUGUGAAAGUUUGCGGCUCAACCGUAAAAUUGCAGUUGAUACUGGAUAUCUUGAGUGCAGUUGAGGCAGGCGGAAUUCGUGGUGUAGCGGUGAAAUGCUUAGAUAUCACGAAGAACUCCGAUUGCGAAGGCAGC